AUUGAACGCUAGCGGGAUGCUUUACACAUGCAAGUCGAACGGCAGCGCGGACUUCGGUCUGGCGGCGAGUGGCGAACGGGUGAGUAAUGUAUCGGAACGUGCCCAGUAGCGGGGGAUAACUACGCGAAAGCGUAGCUAAUACCGCAUACGCCCUACGGGGGAAAGCAGGGGAUCGUAAGACCUUGCACUAUUGGAGCGGCCGAUAUCGGAUUAGCUAGUUGGUGAGGUAACGGCUCACCAAGGCGACGAUCCGUAGCUGGUUUGAGAGGACGACCAGCCACACUGGGACUGAGACACGGCCCAGGCUCCUACGGGAGGCAGCAGUGGGGAAUUUUGGACAAUGGGGGCAACCUUGAUCCAGCCAUCCCGCGUGUGCGAUGAAGGCCUUCGGGUUGUAAAGCACUUUUGGCAGGAAAGAAACGUCGCGGGCUAAUACCCCGUGGAACUGACGGUACCUGCAGAAUAAGCACCGGCUAACUACGUG
rnacentral:rRNA from 1 species